rnacentral:tRNA from 1 species
GAUAUAGCUCAGCAGCACAGCGCCUGCCUGGCAUGCAUGAGACUCUGAGUUCCAUUCCCAGUAUC